GCCCAGGCUCCCUAGGUGUACCUUUGUGCCCUGCCUUUACCAAGCAUUUGGAUGAUCAGGAUUGCAAGUAUGAGGGUCCAGGGCACUGUCGGCCUUGCCUUUCCCUGCCCAUACGCUAGGCUCAGAUUCCAAGAUCAGUCCAGGACCAUCAUCCCCAGAUCCAAGUCAAGAGUCACAGAAAAAGCAACAACAACAACAAACCACCAAAUCCAGGGUCUGAUAAAUCGCAGAAGAAUCAGGAGCCAAGAGAAGAGAAAGAACCAUGUUCAAGGAAAACAAGAUUAAAGUAGAGCUCAUCCUGGCAAAUAAGUCAUUUUGGCGUGAAUACCAAGUGUUACGGUUCUGAGAUUAUCGUAAGAGCAGAUAAUGCCAAAAGAAAGGUUAAAAGGAGAAAGAGACAUCUGUUAAAGCCAGUAAAGGAAAAAUCUGGGGAUUAGAAUACAGAAAACGCUAUUUAAUGGCUCAGGGAUUCACUGAGAGCAUUUACCUCUUCGCUUCAUAAAACAGCCCAAUGACAAAUUUGUUCCAGUCAUCAGUGUGGUCAGCUAGGCUGCUACGCAACUAUUGCCUUGUAUGGCCUGGCUGGUUGUUAUUAUGGGAUGUUCUGAUUGCACUCUCCUUGCAACUGUUACACUUUAUUUUCAGCCACCAGGGCCCUUUCCCUGGUCUGCCUUGUGCCUACCUAAUCUUAUUAAACACAGUAAGACCCAUGUAAUGGAGCAGAAGGUAAGAAGGUACGGAAG
rnacentral:lncRNA from 1 species